GAUGAAGAACGCAGUGAAAUGCGAUAAGUAAUGUGAAUUGCAGAAUUCAGUGAAUCAUCGAAUCUUUGAACGCACAUUGCGCCCAUUAGUAUUCUAGUGGACAUGCCUGUUCGAGCGUCAUUAAGUCCACUUAAGCCCUGCUUAGUGUUGGGAGACUGCUCCAGCGGUGCUACCCUGUAGCUACCCUGCAGCUCCUCAAAGACAGCGGCGGAGUUGUGGUAUCCUCUGAGCUUAGUAACUUGUUCUAGCUUUCGAGUACACCACUUCCCCUGCCGUAAAACCCUUAAUUUUUAAUGGUUGACCUCGGAUCAGGUAGGAAUACCCGCUGAACUUAAGCAUAUCAAUAAGCGGAGGA
rnacentral:misc_RNA from 1 species